rnacentral:rRNA from 1 species
AGAGUUUGAUCAUGGCUCAGAGCGAACGCUGGCGGCAGGCUUAACACAUGCAAGUCGAGCGGGCGUAGCAAUACGUCAGCGGCAGACGGGUGAGUAACGCGUGGGAACGUACCUUUUGGUUCGGAACAACCCAGGGAAACUUGGGCUAAUACCGGAUAAGCCCUUACGGGGAAAGAUUUAUCGCCGAAAGAUCGGCCCGCGUCUGAUUAGCUAGUUGGUGAGGUAAUGGCUCACCAAGGCGACGAUCAGUAGCUGGUCUGAGAGGAUGAUCAGCCACAUUGGGACUGAGACACGGCCCAAACUCCUACGGGAGGCAGCAGUGGGGAAUAUUGGACAAUGGGCGCAAGCCUGAUCCAGCCAUGCCGCGUGAGUGAUGAAGGCCCUAGGGUUGUAAAGCUCUUUUGUGCGGGAAGAUAAUGACGGUACCGCAAGAAUAAGCCCCGGCUAACUUCGUGCCAGCAGCCGCGGUAAUACGAAGGGGGCUAGCGUUGCUCGGAAUCACUGGGCGUAAAGGGUGCGUAGGCGGGUCUUUAAGUCAGGGGUGAAAUCCUGGAGCUCAACUCCAGAACUGCCUUUGAUACUGAAGAUUUUGAGUUCGGGAGAGGUGAGUGGAACUGCGAGUGUAGAGGUGAAAUUCGUAGAUAUUCGCAAGAACACCAGUGGCGAAGGCGGCUCACUGGCCCGAUACUGACGCUGAGGCACGAAAGCGUGGGGAGCAAACAGGAUUAGAUACCCCUGUAGUCC